UACGUAGGGUGCAAGCGUUGUCCGGAAUUAUUGGGCGUAAAGAGCUCGUAGGCGGCUUGUCGCGUCGGAUGUGAAAGCCCGGGGCUUAACUCCGGGUCUGCAUUCGAUACGGGCAGGCUAGAGUUCGGUAGGGGAGAUCGGAAUUCCUGGUGUAGCGGUGAAAUGCGCAGAUAUCAGGAGGAACACCGGUGGCGAAGGCGGAUCGCUGGGCCGAUACUGACGCUGAGGAGCGAAAGCGUGGGGAGCGAACAGG
rnacentral:rRNA from 1 species